UCCUCGAUAGCUCAGUGGUAGAGCAGUUGGCUGUUAACCAAUUGGUCGCUGGUUCGAAUCCGGCUCGGGGAG
rnacentral:tRNA from 1 species